rnacentral:rRNA from 1 species
AUUGAACGCUGGCGGCAGGCUUAACACAUGCAAGUCGAGCGGAGAUGAGGUGCUUGCACCUUAUCUUAGCGGCGGACGGGUGAGUAAUGCUUAGGAAUCUGCCUAUUAGUGGGGGACAACAUUCCGAAAGGAAUGCUAAUACCGCAUACGUCCUACGAGAGAAAGCAGGGGAUCUUCGGACAUUGCGCUAAUAGAUGAGCCUAAGUCGGAUUAGCUAGUGGGUGGGGUAAAGGCCUACCAAGGCGACGAUCUGUAGCGGGUCUGAGAGGAUGAUCCGCCACACUGGGACUGAGACACGGCCCAGACUCCUACGGGAGGCAGCAGUGGGGAAUAUUGGACAAUGGGGGGAACCCUGAUCCAGCCAUGCCGCGUGUGUGAAGAAGGCCUUAUGGUUGUAAAGCACUUUAAGCGAGGAGGAGGCUACUGAGACUAAUACUCUUGGAUAGUGGACGUUACUCGCAGAAUAAGCACCGGCUAACUCUGUGCCAGCCGCCGCGGUAA